GUCUGCAGCCAUGUCACCCUGAACAAGCCCAAUCCCGUCUGAUCUCGGAAGCUAAGCAGGGUUGGGCCUGGUUAGUACUCGGAUGGGAGACCACAUAGGAAGACCAGGUGCUGUAGGCA
rnacentral:rRNA from 1 species